rnacentral:lncRNA from 1 species
CACACACACACAGCAACAUCCUUACAGAGGGGCCAAACUCACAGGUUUUCCCAGUGCUGGUGGACCCUCCAAUUCUACCACACUGAUACCCAUAAUUCCACUCUGCUUACAGGUCACUCUGUGAGGCAAACCCACAGCAGUUAAACAAACAAACUUUCAUGGAGGACUGAGGAGGAUGCAUUUUGAAUUGUGGAGAGAAGAGGACAGACAUGUCACAACAAUGGCAGAUUGAGGAGACCACAUGGUGGUCUACCUUCCCUGUGGCCGACAUGGUUGCUGUAUGGAUAGUGGAAAGGACAUGGAUGUCUCGUUUGUCAUGUCACUUUACUGCCAACUGUUACCUGUUCUUCUGGAACUCCACCUCCCCCCUCUGCAUCUUCCUGCUUCCGAAUGCAGGCAUCCCCUUCCUAUUUGACCGAACCGUGCCACAGGUCCCAGUGCUGUUGGAGAGCAGAAGUUGGAAGCGUGUAGGACUGUUGUACCAAUUCAAAUAAAUAUCAAAUGUUAUUGGUUGCGUACAGAUAAUUGGCAGAUGUUAUUGCAGGUGCAGCUAAAUGCUUAUGUUUCUGGCGGCAAUAGUGCAGUAAUACCUAACAAUACAAAACAAUACACACAAAUCCCAAGAAAUGUAAAGAAAGAAAUUAAGAAAUAAUACAAA